rnacentral:rRNA from 1 species
UACGUAGGGUGCAAGCGUUGUCCGGAAUUAUUGGGCGUAAAGAGCUCGUAGGCGGUUUGUUGCGUCGGCUGUGAAAUCCCGAGGCUCAACCUCGGGUCUGCAGUCGAUACGGGCGGACUGGAGUUCGGCAGGGGAGACUGGAAUUCCUGGUGUAGCGGUGAAAUGCGCAGAUAUCAGGAGGAACACCAGCGGCGAAGGCGGCAUCCUGGACUGGUCCUGACACUCAGGAGCGAAAGCGUGGGGAGCGAUCCGG